CAAUAGCGUAUAUUAAAGUUGUUGCAGUUAAAAAGCUCGUAGUUGGACCUCUGGUCGGAGCAACGAGGCCACUCCGCAAGGAGCGAGCGCUCUGUUGUCUCCGGCCAUCCUUGGGAAGAGCGGCCCUGGCAUUAGGUUGUCGGGGUCGGGAUUCCCAUCGUUUACUGUGAAAAAUUAGAGUGUUCAAGGCAGGCUUAACGCCGUGAAUACAUUAGCAUGGAAUAAUGAGACAGGACCUUGGCGGUCUAUUUUGUUGGUUUGCACGCCAAGGUAAUGAUUAAUAGGGAUAGUUGGGGGUAUUCGUAUUCAAUUGUCAGAGGUGAAAUUCUUGGAUUUAUGGAAGACGAAACUACUGCGAAAGCAUUUACCAAGGAUGUUUUCAUUAAUCAAGAACGAAAGUUAGGGGAUCGAAGACGAUCAGAUACCAU
rnacentral:rRNA from 1 species